rnacentral:rRNA from 1 species
GAUGAACGCUGGCGGCGUGCCUAAUACAUGCAAGUCGAGCGAACGGACGAGAAGCUUGCUUCUCUGAUGUUAGCGGCGGACGGGUGAGUAACACGUGGAUAACCUACCUAUAAGACUGGGAUAACUUCGGGAAACCGGAGCUAAUACCGGAUAAUAUUUUGAACCGCAUGGUUCAAAAGUGAAAGACGGUCUUGCUGUCACCUAUAGAUGGAUCCGCGCUGCAUUAGCUAGUUGGUAAGGUAACGGCUUACCAAGGCAACGAUGCAUAGCCGACCUGAGAGGGUGAUCGGCCACACUGGAACUGAGACACGGUCCAGACCCCUACGGGAGGCAGCAGUAGGGAAUCUUCCGCAAUGGGCGAAAGCCUGACGGAGCAACGCCGCGUGAGUGAUGAAGGUCUUCGGAUCGUAAAACUCUGUUAUUAGGGAAGAACAUAUGUGUAAGUAACUGUGCACAUCUUGACGGUACCUAAUCAGAAAGCCACGGCUAACUACGUGCCAGCAGCCGCGGUAAUACGUAGGUGGCAAGCGUUAUCCGGAAUUAUUGGGCGUAAAGCGCGCGUAGGCGGUUUUUUAAGUCUGAUGUGAAAGCCCACGGCUCAACCGUGGAGGGUCAUUGGAAACUGGAAAACUUGAGUGCAGAAGAGGAAAGUGGAGUUCCAUGUGUAGCGGUGAAAUGCGCAGAGAUAUGGAGGAACACCAGUGGCGAAGGCGACUUUCUGGUCUGUAACUGACGCUGAUGUGCGAAAGCGUGGGGAUCAAACAGGAUUAGAUACCCUGGUAGUCCACGCCGUAAACGAUGAGUGCUAAGUGUUAGGGGGUUUCCGCCCCUUAGUGCUGCAGCUAACGCAUUAAGCACUCCGCCUGGGGAGUACGACCGCAAGGUUGAAACUCAAAGGAAUUGACGGGGACCCGCACAAGCGGUGGAGCAUGUGGUUUAAUUCGAAGCAACGCGAAGAACCUUACCAAAUCUUGACAUCCUUUGACAACUCUAGAGAUAGAGCCUUCCCCUUCGGGGGACAAAGUGACAGGUGGUGCAUGGUUGUCGUCAGCUCGUGUCGUGAGAUGUUGGGUUAAGUCCCGCAACGAGCGCAACCCUUAAGCUUAGUUGCCAUCAUUAAGUUGGGCACUCUAAGUUGACUGCCGGUGACAAACCGGAGGAAGGUGGGGAUGACGUCAAAUCAUCAUGCCCCUUAUGAUUUGGGCUACACACGUGCUACAAUGGACAAUACAAAGGGCAGCGAAACCGCGAGGUCAAGCAAAUCCCAUAAAGUUGUUCUCAGUUCGGAUUGUAGUCUGCAACUCGACUACAUGAAGCUGGAAUCGCUAGUAAUCGUAGAUCAGCAUGCUACGGUGAAUACGUUCCCGGGUCU